UAUAAUUUUCCAGCGAAGGGUGUUCAAUCUAAGUUGUACGGACUCUUCACGUUUGAUGCCGCACCCGUGUUGGAUUCGCCAAAAAUACCCAUUCAAAUAGGAUUUUGGAGAAAGAAAGGUUUAUAUAACGGGUAUUGAAAAAGGUUUUAUACCAAGUUUUCAUUGUAAUAAGAAAAAUAUUUUGUUGAAUAAACUGUUUUCUUGUUGAGAAAAAAAUUAUUGCCGAGAGUGUACUAUCAAAUCAUGAGUGAUGACUGGGCAGGUAAUUGCGUUCUUAUGAUAUUAGGUUUGUAUGCUAUUGAUAGUUAUAGAAAGCAUCGGAAGGAGCAGAAUGUCAAGAAGGAGGAGCAGAAUGUCAAGUUGAAAGUAUUAAGAGAGGUAAAUCAACAACGUGAAGAUCACAUUUUGGCAGAAAGGGAAAGUUGUUUCCCCUCCAUCCAUAUAUGCACGUUUGGAAGAGGAAGAGAAGGCGCUUAGUCCUGGAAGAGAAGAGGAAGGAAAUAACUAGCUGUCUCAGUUUAGUAAUGUUUUAAGAUUAGUCAAUUUUUAUAUAUAAGUUUUUCUUUUA
rnacentral:lncRNA from 1 species